rnacentral:rRNA from 1 species
GACGAACCGUGCGAACGUUAUUCGGAAUCACUGGGCUUAAAGCGCGUGUAGGCGGGACGGCACGUCGGUCGCUGAAAGCCCCCGGCUCAACCGGGGAACGGGCGCCGAUACGACCGUCCUGGAGGGACGUAGGGGGACCUGGAACAUCCGGUGGAGCGGUGAAAUGCGUUGAGAUCGGAUGGAACGCCCGUGGCGAAAACGAGGUCCUGGACGUUUUCUGACGCUGAGACGCGAAAGCCAGGGGAGGCGAAACGGG